UACGGAGGGUGCGAGCGUUGUCCGGAAUCAUUGGGCGUAAAGGGCGCGUAGGUGGCCCGGUCAGUCUUUGGUGAAAGCGCGGGGCUCAACCCUGCGUCGGCCAGGGAUACUGCCGCGGCUCGAGCACUGUAGAGGCAGGCGGAAUUCCGGGUGUAGCGGUGGAAUGCGUAGAGAUCCGGAAGAACACCGGUGGCGAAGGCGGCCCCCUGGGCCAAUACUGACGCUCAGGCACGAAAGCGUGGGGAGCAAACAGG
rnacentral:rRNA from 1 species